UACGUAGGUCCCGAGCGUUGUCCGGAUUUAUUGGCCGUAAAGCGAGCGCAGGUGGUUUAUUAAGUCUGGUGUAAAAGGCAGUGGCUCAACCAUUGUAUGCAUUGGAAACUGGUAGACUUGAGUGCAGGAGAGGAGAGUGGAAUUCCAUGUGUAGCGGUGAAAUGCGUAGAUAUAUGGAGGAACACCGGUGGCGAAAGCGGCUCUCUGGCCUGUAACUGACACUGAGGCUCGAAAGCGUGGGGAGCAAACAGG
rnacentral:rRNA from 1 species